UCAAUUCAAAACGUCUAUUGCCCUCCAAUAGACAUCUAUUGCUCCUCAAUAGACAUUCAGAACUUUUUUUCUUUCUUUCCUUCUGUCCCAUUACUUAAAAAAAAAAAAAAAUCUGGGCACCCAUGUCUUCUCCCUCUUCUCCCUUCUCCGGUUGCAGACCUGGGAAUCUGGGAUUUGUUGUAGAAGCAGAGUAGUGGCACAAAAUUCUGAAGAAACUGCUCGUCAAGCAUGCCAAGCAUCAGGGCUUGUGGAAAAUUGUGAAGACACGGCGUCAAGGCAGAGCAUGUAAAUAUGGAACAAUUCGGAGGCAAGUCUGUCAUCUAGCUUUGAAGGAUCGGCCAGUCAAAUAGUUGGAGAUAAGGUGACGAAUCCUGACGGAUUCUAGCUUAAAGAGGAGACUUUCAGAGGUUUCGAUGGAGGAGGCAGGUCUAUCGCUUCGCUUAGCCACAGAUCGGUGUUAUAGUCGAAGUCGGAGUCUAGGUAUUUCAAGGCGCAUCGAAGCUUAGAGAGAGAGACCAGAUCGGAGGUCACAUCUGGAGGAAGCCGUCGGCGGCCGCGCCGGCAAUGAUGGAGUUCCACGGGUAGGCCCCUUCUACAGGAGAGAGAGAGAGAGAGAGAGAGAGAGAGAGAGAGAGAGAGAGAGAGAGAGAGAGAGAGAGCAGAUGGGCAUGAUAGUAGUUGUUUAGUUAGGAUGACGGUAAAAUUGAAAUUUUCCUCUAAAUUGGGUUAGUGGGAAUAAAAAUUUGUUGCUGGGGUAAGUGAGAUAGUUUUGGCUUA